GGGCGUGUAGCUCAAUUGGUAGAGCGUGCGUUUCGCAUGUUUACCACCUUGCGAAAGGUCUCGGGCUCGAUUCCCAACUCGUCCA